UUAACAGGUGACCAUGGCAGACCUGCUCUGAGGCAGACUCAUUUCAGGUCCAACAUGGAUUCACAUCACCGGUCAUCCAAAAGAUAAGUUGGGGGCCACGGCCUGGAGAUGGGAGGAUAGGAGAGUAGUGGGUUGGGAAUUCCUGGGACAGAUUUAAAAAUUAGCAGAGGGUAAAGGGAUGUCCUGUAAGUGGCCACUUAAGACAGCAUAAGGGAGACACUCUACCUCUGAAUGCAGCUGUAGGAUGUGCAGUGCAGAACAGUUCUGGUCUAUGUUGUGUUGUCCGGUGUACUGUUACCUACUGUGUGUUUGGGCCUUCUUGGAUCAGAUAUCUCUGCCUUUUCCUGUCAAGGCCCUUACCACAAGCAUCAGCCAUCAUCUCUAGGUUCUCAAAGGCUUUCACUUCUCGGUAGGAUGCCGAUAUCAUUCGUUCUUUUACCGGCGGGCUUGACCGUGUCUCCGAGUUACAUCUCAGAAGCAUCGAGUCAGAUGUCUCUUGAGGCCUUGUGCCUGGCUGUAUCACCAUCCAUCCUUUCCAGCCAUGAGCUGUAAUAUCCAGGGGUUUAUAAGAUUGUGUGAUAUGGAGAACAUUUGAAACAUAGCAUUGUCUCACAGCCAUCUUGAUCAUCAUGACCAACAGUUCAUAGAACAGGUCACUCUGUUCUAGUCUUUUCUUGUGCUCGUUGGAGGAGCCUCCUCCAUCCACUGUCACCUUAGCAUCAGUCAUCUCUUUUGGCGUUCUCUUGGUCCUUGCCAUUAUAAAUCUUGCCAGGAAAUUUUUUCUUAUCCUUGCCUCACACGGUGUGUAGCAUAAUGUGUUGUGUUUAGUGUCCCCAUUGUUUGUCAUGUCCUGUGUCACAGGUGUCUGCACAUAUUUUUGCUGGAGCUGCUCUGCCCUGCUGCAUAGUCUGGUGUAAUAGGACAAGUCUCAGGGACUUGAAAUUUGUAGUGUGGGCUGUAGUUGGACUCUAGAUGAUAUUCCUAGGUUGACCCAAGAUGUCUGGAGCUGUGAAGUGGUCCUGCAGCCCUUUGACAUUUUUCCUAACUUUCUUUCAGAUGCAGAUGGAUAAAAUCCAUGGCAGAGCGCCCCAUCCCAGAAAGUAACGCAGAAUAUCAGCAGUCAAGGCAAGGUGGUCAAGGCAAUCCAUUUGGACUAUGCAUAACUCCCCGUCACGCACUGGCCGAUAGACUGUGAUCGCUGCUCUCAUGAGCCCUGUGGAAGUAUUACAGGACUUGGUGAUGAAGCCUCUGCCUUUCCUAUUUAAAGGUGUCACCUGGGUAGCCUUUGGCAAUGGCUGAGGAGUUGCAGUGA